rnacentral:rRNA from 1 species
UACAGGGGGGGCAAGCGUUGUUCGGAAUUACUGGGCGUAAAGGGCUCGUAGGUGGCCAACUAAGUCAGACGUGAAAUCCCUCAGCUUAACUGGGGAACUGCGUCUGAUACUGGAUGGCUUGAGUUUGGGAGAGGGAUGCGGAAUUCCAGGUGUAGCGGUGAAAUGCGUAGAUAUCUGGAGAACACCGGUGGCGAAGGCGGCAUCCUGGACCAACACUGACACUGAGGAGCGAAAGCCAGGGAGCAAACGGG